rnacentral:tRNA from 1 species
GGACCCGUUGCAUAGCCUGGAUAGUGCAGGUGAUUCCGGAUCAUCAGGUCGGGGGAUCGAAGCCCCCCGGGUCCUUGA